AAGAUGAUCGGGGGGGAGUGGAGCAUCUCCCUGAUGAGGAAAGGCUGAGAGACCUGGGGCUGUGCAGCCUGGAGAAGAGAAAAUGGGGGAUCUCAUCAAUGCUGAUCAAUGUCUACAGGGUGGGUGUCCAGAGGAUGGGGCCAGACUCCUUUCAGUGGUGCCCAGUGACAGGACAAGAAGGAACAGGCACAAGCUGGAACACAGGAAAUUCCAUCUCAACAUGAUGAAAAACUACUUUACUUUGAGGGUGGCAGAGCCCUGGAACAGGCUGCCCAGAGAUGGUGUGGAGUUUCCUUCUCUGGAAAUACUCAAAUCCUGCCUGGAUGAGUUCCUGUCCAGCCUGCUCUGGGUGACCCUGCUUUGGCAGGGGUAGACUAGAUGGUCUCCAGAGGUCCUUUCUGUCCUUAGCCAUUCUCUUGCAGGAACCUCAGACAAACCUUGUGUUAGGCUGAAAAGGCUUAGGAUUUUCCUCCUGAAGCACAGAGAGGCCAGAAAAGCAGGUGGAUCCAGAAGUGGCUCAGAACAGGAGAAAGGAGAACUUCCUCAACCUGAACUGGCCCAUAGUCACAUCACAGCAACACAACAGCACAGAGCCCUGCAGUAACAGAGCUGACAAGCCAGGAACACAGCUGGAAACUGAGGAGGGAAGGGGUCUGAGAAUCUGUUUCUGCAGCCACAUCCAGCCUAAGAGGCACCAGAGACUGAGUAAGGGGAAGAGAAAGUGACACCAUCGUUAAUUUAGAUCAACUGGAAACUUUAUUUUCUGGUACUAAGUCUUUGAGAAGUGCCUUCUUCCAGGCAGUUCUACCCCUUUCCCCGUAUCACCCCCAGCCAUAACCAGAUAGACCUCUUUUUGUCCCCAUCAGUUUCUGCUUUCCUCUUAAGUGUGACUAUCAGGAUUGAGCAACAGCACCCAUAGAAAGCAGCCAGGCCCUAAGGGCUAGGAAUUGGGAAGCAGAUAAAAUCUCUUCUUGACCAGCACGAGACCUUUAGAGACCUUUUUUCAUCCUCCUUCUUGAGAAGGAGAUAGCAUUUCGUUUUACAGCAACGUGUUGUCGUCUGACGUCUGCAGUAACCAACUAAGAAAGACACCAUUCAUUUGCCGAGAGAAAAUGUUAAAAAGCAUCCUUUUUCACCUGUGAAAAUUAGGACAUCAUCCCUGCCUUACACCACAAGUCAGGGGAUAUGUGAAAGGUUACAGCCCUCGGCUUCCAUCUCAGAGCUCAGCUGUCUUGUGAACAAUGCGGCCCUUUAAAAACCUUUCUAGGAAGAUUUCAGAAACUUGGUCAACAUUUCCAUCGUGCCUACAGCACCAGGAUUACAGUCAACAGUUAGCAUGCUGAGAAGUUGGUCAGGACUCCCACUAUCCCUCCUCCUCCC